CACUCAGCAGCAGAUGCCUCCAGAAUCUGGGCCAGCGGACGGCGGGCGGAGCCCGGGAAACGAAGGCGGCAGCGAGAAGCCGAGGUUGGGACAGGCACAGCGGCUCACAGCAAAGCGGGAGCCGGGAAGCAGGAGCGAGGAGGAAAGUAAUGACGGACAAGUGACUUCUGUAAGCCCCUCAAGACACACGAGUGGCCAGGUCCCUUCCCAGGACCUCUAACUGCCAGGUUCCACCCUCGGAAUACUCUAACUGCCCUAAUUGCUGGAUCCUGUCCCCAUCCUACAGAGUAAAAAAGUCCAAUCUUGGAACAUGAAAUCCCACCAAUUGCCACCCUGAAAAGUUCACCCCCCUUCCCAAGAAACUCUAUAUAAACCCUGUAUCCUGUUCAGUUUGCUGCUGUUUCUCACCCUAGCAGAGGCAGACACCUUUCUUGUUUAUUCCUCUCCCAAUAAAUUCCUCUCCUGUGUGA